rnacentral:rRNA from 1 species
UAGUCCUAGCCGUAAACGAUGGGCACUAGGUGUAGAGGGUAUCGACCCCCUCUGUACCGCAGCUAACGCAUUAAGUGCCCCGCCUGGGGAGUACGAUCGCAAGACUGAAACUCAAAGGAAUUGACGGGGGCCCGCACAAGCGGUGGAGCAUGUGGUUUAAUUCGAUGAUACGCGAAGAACCUUACCGGGGUUUGACAUGUAAUUGCCGAGUAUGGAAACAUAUUUUCUCCUUCGGGAGCGGUUACACAGGUGCUGCAUGGUUGUCGUCAGCUCGUGUCGUGAGAUGUUGGGUUAAGUCCAGCAACGAGCGCAACCCUUAUCGUUAGUUGCCAGCACGUAAAGGUGGGAACUCUAGCGAGACUGCCCCGGUUAACGGGGAGGAAGGUGGGGAUGACGUCAAGUCCUCAUGACCCUUAUGUCCAGGGCUACACACGUGCUACAAUGGUAAAUACAGAGGGCAGCGAGCCAGCAAUGGUUAGCGAAUCCCGAAAGUUUAUCUCAGUCCGGAUUGGAGU